rnacentral:ribozyme from 14 species
UAGGCGAACGUCGAAAAAAAGAAAAAGAAAAAGAAAAAAGAAAAAGAAAGAAAGAAAAGA